GUUUAAAUAGCAAAGAAAGUAAUGCAGUAGAUUUAGGCUCUAUAACCAGGGGUGCAAGUCCUCUUUUAAACU
rnacentral:tRNA from 1 species